rnacentral:rRNA from 1 species
AAAUUGAAGAGUUUGAUCAUGGCUCAGAUUGAACGCUGGCGGCAGGCCUAACACAUGCAAGUCGAACGGUAACAGGAAGCAGCUUGCUGCUUUGCUGACGAGUGGCGGACGGGUGAGUAAUGUCUGGGAAACUGCCUGAUGGAGGGGGAUAACUACUGGAAACGGUGGCUAAUACCGCAUAACGUCGCAAGACCAAAGAGGGGGACCUUCGGGCCUCUUGCCAUCAGAUGUGCCCAGAUGGGAUUAGCUUGUUGGUGAGGUAACGGCUCACCAAGGCGACGAUCCCUAGCUGGUCUGAGA